AACGAACGCUGGCGGCAUGCCUAACACAUGCAAGUCGAACGAAGUCUUCGGACUUAGUGGCGCACGGGUGCGUAACGCGUGGGAAUCUGCCCUUGGCUUCGGAAUAACAGUUAGAAAUGACUGCUAAUACCGGAUGAUGUCUUCGGACCAAAGAUUUAUCGGCCAGGGAUGAGCCCGCGUAGGAUUAGGUAGUUGGUGGGGUAAAGGCCUACCAAGCCGACGAUCCUUAGCUGGUCUGAGAGGAUGAUCAGCCACACUGGGACUGAGACACGGCCCAGACUCCUACGGGAGGCAGCAGUGGGGAAUAUUGGAGAAUGGACGCAAGUCUGAUCCGGCAAUGCCGCGUGAGUGAUGAAGGCCUUAGGGUUGUAAAGCUCUUUUACCAGGGAUGAUAAUGACAGUACCUGGAGAAUAAGCUCCGGCUAACUCCGUGCCAGCAGCCGCCGUAAAAC
rnacentral:rRNA from 1 species